rnacentral:rRNA from 1 species
AGGGUUUGAUUAUGGCUCAGAUUGAACGCUGGCGGCAUGCCUUACACAUGCAAGUCGAACGGCAGCACGGGGGCAACCCUGGUGGCGAGUGGCGAACGGGUGAGUAAUACAUCGGAACGUGUCCUGCAGUGGGGGAUAGCCCGGCGAAAGCCGGAUUAAUACCGCAUACGCUCUGCGGAGGAAAGCGGGGGCUCCUUCGGGACCUCGCGCUACAGGGGCGGCCGAUGGCAGAUUAGCUAGUUGGUGGGGUAAAGGCCUACCAAGGCGACGAUCUGUAGCUGGUCUGAGAGGACGGCCAGCCACACUGGGACUGAGACACGGCCCAGACUCCUACGGGAGGCAGCAGUGGGGAAUUUUGGACAAUGGGCGCAAGCCUGAUCCAGCAAUGCCGCGUGUGUGAAGAAGGCCUUCGGGUUGUAAAGCACUUUUGUCCGGAAAGAAAACCUCAGCCCUAAUACGGCGGGGGGAUGACGGUACCGGAAGAAUAAGCACCGGCUAACUACGUGCCAGCAGCCGCGGUAAUACGUAGGGUGCAAGCGUUAAUCGGAAUUACUGGGCGUAAAGCGUGCGCAGGCGGUCCGCUAAGACAGAUGUGAAAUCCCCGGGCUUAACCUGGGAACUGCAUCUGUGACUGGCGGGCUAGAGUAUGGCAGAGGGGGGUAGAAUUCCACGUGUAGCAGUGAAAUGCGUAGAGAUGUGGAGGAAUACCGAUGGCGAAGGCAGCCCCCUGGGCCAAUACUGACGCUCAUGCACGAAAGCGUGGGGAGCAAACAGGAUUAGAUACCCUGGUAGUCCACGCCCUAAACGAUGUCAACUAGUUGUCGGGCCUUCAUUGGCUUGGUAACGUAGCUAACGCGUGAAGUUGACCGCCUGGGGAGUACGGUCGCAAGAUUAAAACUCAAAGGAAUUGACGGGGACCCGCACAAGCGGUGGAUGAUGUGGAUUAAUUUCG